GACGAACGCUGGCGGCGUGCUUAACACAUGCAAGUCGAACGGAAAGGCCCUGCUUGCAGGGUACUCGAGUGGCGAACGGGUGAGUAACACGUGGGUGAUCUGCCCUGCACUUCGGGAUAAGCCUGGGAAACUGGGUCUAAUACCGGAUAGGAGCCAUUUUUAGUGUGAUGGUUGGAAAGUUUUUUUCGGUGUAGGAUGAGCUCGCGGCCUAUCAGCUUGUUGGUGGGGUAAUGGCCUACCAAGGCGGCGACGGGUAGCCGGCCUGAGAGGGUGGACGGCCAAAUUGGGACUGAGAUACGGCCCAGACGCCUACGGGAGGGAGCAGUGGGGAAUAUUGCACAAUGGGCGCAAGCCUGAUGCAGCGACGCCGCGUGGGGGAUGACGGCCUUCGGGUUGUAAACUCCUUUCGCUAGGGACGAAGCUUUUUGUGACGGUACCUAGAGAAGAAGCACCGGCUAACUACGUG
rnacentral:rRNA from 1 species